GACGAACGCUGGCGGCGUGCUUAACACAUGCAAGUCGAACGGAAAGGCCCUGCUUUUGUGGGGUGCUCGAUUGGCGAACGGGUGAGUAACACGCUAGUAACCUGUCCUUGACUUUGUGAUAACUUCUGGAAACUGGGGCUCCAAUCCGUUAGGAGCUCCUGCUGCAUGGUGGUGGUUGGAAAGUUUCGGCGGUUGGGGAUGGACUCGCGGUUUAUCAGCUUGUUGGUGGAGUAGUGGCUUACCAAGGAUUCGACGGGUAGCCGGCCUGAGAGGGUGACCGGACACAUUGGGACUGAGAUACGGCCCAGACUCGUACGGGAAGCAGUAGUGGGGAGUAGUGCACAAUGGGCGGAAGCCUGAUGCAGCAGCGCCGCGUGCGGGAUGACGGCCUUCGGGUUAUAAACCGCUUUGGCAUGUGACGAAGCGGGAGUGACGGUAAUGGGUAAAGAAGCACCGGCUAACUACGUG
rnacentral:rRNA from 1 species